rnacentral:lncRNA from 1 species
AAGUGGUUUUCCAGGGGAAACCUAUGAAAUCUACCAGAGGCAGUGCCUCAAGGCUGCUUAUCUCCUUGCCACUCCCAGUGUGUUCCAGGGACCCGCUGCAUCAGCAGCACCUGGGAGCUUGUUGGAAAUGCAGAAUCUCUAAUCCCAUGUUUGACCAGCUGAAUCUGCAUUUGCUAAUUUCCCCCAGGUGAUUCUAAGCACAUUAAAAUCUGGAUGACACUUAUCUGAAUCAUUUCGCAACUUGGAGAGAGAUGGAGAAGACACGCAUGGUGUAACUGGGCAUCACCAGAAUGUGCACUGCCAUCUGUGGCUGUCUUCCUGCUGGCAAAUCCUUUUCAUUCCAAGCAAAUAAGAUUCCCUAAAUUAGACAAAAAGGAAGAAACACAACAGAGUCCAUAAUUCUGAGAGGAAGAGAAGAGUGAUCAUCAGCAGCAAAAGGCAAUUGCAGAGAAGCACCACCAAGAGCCAGCUUCAUGCUCAGGAGUGAAUGCUGAGCCGCCUCCUCGUGGUUUCCGGUGCUCCACAUGUUCAGAGAAACUUCUCUGCUCAAAUGUUGCCUUUUCCAAAACCACCCAUGG